GUGGCUCUAGCUCAACCGGUUAGAGCAUCGCGUUGUGAGCGCGGAGGUUGUCGAUUCGAAUUCGACGAGCCACCCCA
rnacentral:tRNA from 1 species